rnacentral:rRNA from 1 species
GGUGAACGCUGGCGGUAGGCCUAACACAUGCAAGUCGAACGGCAGCACAGUAAGAGCUUGCUCUUACGGGUGGCGAGUGGCGGACGGGUGAGGAAUACAUCGGAAUCUACUUUUUCGUGGGGGAUAACGUAGGGAAACUUACGCUAAUACCGCAUACGACCUACGGGUGAAAGCAGGGGAUCUUCGGACCUUGCGCGAUUGAAUGAGCCGAUGUCGGAUUAGCUAGUUGGCGGGGUAAAGGCCCACCAAGGCGACGAUCCGUAGCUGGUCUGAGAGGAUGAUCAGCCACACUGGAACUGAGACACGGUCCAGACUCCUACGGGAGGCAGCAGUGGGGAAUAUUGGACAAUGGGCGCAAGCCUGAUCCAGCCAUACCGCGGGGGUGAAGAAGGCCUUCGGGUUGUAAAGCCCUUUUGUUGGGAAAGAAAAGCAGCAGGUUAAUACCCCGCUGUUCGGACGGUACCCAAAGAAUAAGCACCGGCUAACUUCGU